CCCAAAAUCAACAAAACCAAAUAAAUAAAACUCAAAAUAAAACAAAUUUGUAAAAUUACAGACCCAAAUAAUAACAAAAUACAAGCCCAAUUUACAAAAAACCCUAGGCAGCCCAUUGGCCCAAAACUAAACUAAAUUUCAAUAAAAUCAAAACCCUAAUCAGCCCCACGCGUUUCAACCCGAGGCCUGACAUCUUUUCUGCUGACGUUUCACCAAAGAGGCAAAGAGGCCACCUGCUCCCUUCCGUUAACCGAGCGCUGGACCUGCAAAAAUGACGAAAGAAAAGAACAGAAACAGUGGAAAGACAAAGAUAGAAAAAUAAAAAAUAAUAUGUACAAAUGGCUAUAAAAAGCAAGAACCCUCGAUGUAAUUUUUUGGACAGCAUCAAUUACAAAAAAAAGAACAAUCAAAAAAGAGAAAAAAAUUAAACAAAGAUCAGGAUUUAAAAAGAAUGGAAAAGCUAAAACGGAGUCUUUCGGGUGUUCUUCGACCACCGGAGAUUGUGGAGUCCGUCGCCGACGACCGGGGCCGUCGUGGAAUUCACUGGACCCCUAGGCCGGAGUUUGAAGAGGAGAGAGGAUUUAAGAGGGUUG